GUUCCAUGGGAGAGGAGCUGCUCAGUCCGUCUGCCCACCCAGGGCCCUCUGCGGCUCCACGUGUAAGGCUAAAGACAUUAAAGCAAAAUCGCGUUAUCUGAGUCGAGCUACCUGGAGAUUACUGGGAAGAGGAGAAGGAAGACGACGAUGAUAAAAACGCCACUAAUGUUGAACAAAGUCCUGAAAUUUCUGCAAGGGCACCUGUGUCCCACCUGGAUGACGGAGUGGAUCUGUUAAAGAAGACUAUGCAGAAUUUGCAGGAAAAAGUGAAAUUCACCUCCACCAAAGAAGAGGAAGAGGAGAGCUCCCAGGAAGAGCAGGCACGAGAAUCCAGAUUGGGACCCCAUUACCCUACCACUCUCAUACAGAGCCACCAUGAAGAACUACCUU